rnacentral:rRNA from 1 species
CAAUAGCGUAUAUUAAAGUUGCUGCGGUUAAAAAGCUCGUAGUUGGAUUUCUGCUGAGGACGACCGGUCCGCCCUCUGGGUGAGUAUCUGGCUUGGCCUUGGCAUGUUCUUGGAGACCGUAGCUGCACUUGACUGUGUGGUGCGGUAUCCAGGAAUUUUACUUUGAGGAAAUUAGAGUGUUUCAAGCAGGCACACGCCUUUUUCAUUAGCAUGGAAUAAUAAGAUAGGACCUUGGUUUUAUUUUGUUGGUUUCUAGAGCUGAGGUAAUGAUUAAUAGGGAUAGUUGGGGGCAUUCGUAUUAGGGACUACUGCGAAAGCAUUUGCCAAGGAUGCUUUCAUUGAUCAACAACGAAAGUUAGGGGAUCGAAGAUGAUCAGAUACCGU